rnacentral:rRNA from 1 species
CAGCCGCCGCGGUAAUACGAAGGUCCCGAGCGUUGUUCGGAAUCACUGGGCGUAAAGGGAGCGUAGGCGGCGUGGUAAGUCAGAUGUGAAAUCCCGGGGCUCAACCCCGGAACUGCAUCCGAUACUGCCAUGCUAGAGGAUUGGAGAGGUAGCUGGAAUUCUUGGUGUAGCAGUGAAAUGCGUGGAGAUCAAGAGGAACACUCGUGGCGAAAGCGAGCUACUGGACAAUAACUGACGCUGAGGCACGAAAGCGUGGGGAGCAAACAGGAUUAGAUACCCGCGUAGUCCCUGUCUCUUAUAA